rnacentral:rRNA from 1 species
CGGAGGGUGCGAGCGUUAAUCGGAAUAACUGGGCGUAAAGGGCACGCAGGCGGACUUUUAAGUGAGAUGUGAAAUCCCCGAGCUUAACUUGGGAACUGCAUUUCAGACUGGGAGUCUAGAGUACUUUAGGGAGGGGUAGAAUUCCACGUGUAGCGGUGAAAUGCGUAGAGAUGUGGAGGAAUACCGAAGGCGAAGGCAGCCCCUUGGGAAUGUACUGACGCUCAUGUGCGAAAGCGUGGGGAGCAAACAGGAUUAGAUACCCUGGUAGUCCACGCUGUAAACGCUGUCGAUUUGGGGAUUGGGCUAUAUGCCUGGUGCCCGAAGCUAACGUGAUAAAUCGACCGCCUGGGGAGUACGGCCGCAAGGUUAAAACUCAAAUGAAUUGACGGGGGCCCGCACAAGCGGUGGAGCAUGUGGUUUAAUUCGAUGCAACGC